ACAAUUUUCUUUUAAUUGAAGGCAUGCAUGACAUAGCUUCAUGAAAUAUUGUCAAAUAGAAUUUUCAUGAGGAAAUGUAUACAUAUUAUACAGAUAAUAGAUUAUAAAUGAGGAGAAGAAGAGAGACGAAUAGGACACCAGAACAGUUAUGCAGUACAUCAAUUUAUUGGGGGCAUAAUUUCCUUUGGUAGUUAGGCCGGGCAUUAAAGCAUCUCUAGUCCAUAAAUGGCAAUGGGCAACAGGAAGUUCAGCAGUUGAGGAGCAGAAAGAUUCACAAUAAAGCCCAACCGGAUCUACAGCACAAAAGACCUAAUUAAUUUUUU
rnacentral:lncRNA from 1 species